AUUGAACGCUGGCGGCAGGCCUAACACAUGCAAGUCGAACGAGUGGCGGACUGGUGAGUAAUGUCUGGGAAACUGCCUGAUGGAGGGGGAUAACUACUGGAAACGGUAGCUAAUACCGCAUACCAUCGGAUGUGCCCAGAUGGGAUUAGCUAGUAGGUGGGGUAACUGCUCACCUAGGCGACGAGCCCUAGCUGGUCUGAGAGGAUGACCAGCAAACCUGGAACUGAGACACGGUCCAGAGUCCUACGGAAGGCAGAAGUGGGGAAGAUUGCACUAUGGGCGCAAGCCUGAUGCAGCCGUGCCGCGUGUAUGAAGAAGGCCUUCGGGUUGUAAAGUACUUUCAGCGGGGAGGCGUUACCCGCAGAAGAAGCACCGGCUAACUCCGUGCCAGCAGCCGCGGUAAUAC
rnacentral:rRNA from 1 species